rfam:Streptomyces luteus strain TRM 45540 genomic scaffold Scaffold1, whole genome shotgun sequence.
GGACGAUUAGCUCAGCGGGAGAGCGCUUCCCUGACACGGAAGAGGUCACUGGUUCAAUCCCAGUAUCGCGCA